AACGAACGCUGGCGGCAGGCUUAACACAUGCAAGUCGAGCGCCCCGCAAGGGGAGCGGCAGACGGGUGAGUAACGCGUGGGAAUCUACCGAGCCCUGCGGAAUAGCUCCGGGAAACUGGAAUUAAUACCGCAUACGCCCUACGGGGGAAAGAUUUAUCGGGGUUUGAUGAGCCCGCGUUGGAUUAGCUAGUUGGUGGGGUAAAGGCCUACCAAGGCGACGAUCCAUAGCUGGUCUGAGAGGAUGAUCAGCCACAUUGGGACUGAGACACGGCCCAAACUCCUACGGGAGGCAGCAGUGGGGAAUAUUGGACAAUGGGCGCAAGCCUGAUCCAGCCAUGCCGCGUGAGUGAUGAAGGCCCUAGGGUUGUAAAGCUCUUUCAACGGUGAAGAUAAUGACGGUAACCGUAGAAGAAGCCCCGGCUAACUUCGUGCCAGCCGCCGCGGUAACAC
rnacentral:rRNA from 1 species